rnacentral:rRNA from 1 species
GAGGUAAGAUUUGAAAAUAUUAACAUGAUUUAAAUUACCUUAAACGGAUGCGGUAACUCUGACUGUAAUAAAGUAGCAUAAUUAGUUGUCAUUUAAUUGGUGAAGGGUAUGAAUGGUUGAAUGAAUCCUGAACUGUUUUAUAGUAAAUAAUAUUAAAAUUGUAAUAAUAGUGAAGAUACUAUUUAAUAAAGUAAGACGAAAAGACCCUAUAGAGCUUUACUAUAAUCUUUUUACAUUUAAACAUAACUAUAAUUUAAAACAAUUAUGAAAAAAAAGAAAGAUUGGUAGUUUAGUUGGGGCGACUGUUUUCUAUAAAUAACGAAAAUAAGCAAAUAUAAUAUUAAUAUUUAUUGUAUAACAAAAAAAUUUAACAAUUAUAAAUGUAGGCUAUAAUGACCCGUUGAAUUUAAUUAAUAAUUUUAACGAUUAAUUGAUAAAAGUUACCUUAGGGAUAACAGGAUAAUUUUGAAUUAGAGUUCUUAUCAUUUUCAAAGUUUGUCACCUCUA